AGGGAGCUGUUCUGAUUGUGCUACUGAGACUGUUCUUCCAGUGAGUGAAAUGUUUUCAUAUUGCAGUGUAAUCGUGGGCAUUGUGGAUGGCACAGUGGUGAAAAUGGGAACACACACAGAGCUGAUGGGGAAAAAGGAGCCAGAUUAUUCACUUCCAACCUCACAGGAGCUGAUCACAGAGCACAUGCAUUUGAACACCCCAAAAAAUUAUAUUAAAGCACAAAGAGUGAAGAAACAAAAGGCUUGAGCUGUGGAGUUCGAAGUUUGCCCUGCAGCUUUCCAAAGAUUGAAAAUUCUCGGCUCUUGCAUGACAAGGUCAGCCAACUACAUAGACAAGUGCCAAACUUCAGCGUUCCCCAGUGUGUAAAUGUAUUAGGAGACUGGACUUUUAAUUAGCACUGUUCCAGGAAGAGCAAAGAAUCAGUGAGAAGGAAGUAGACAAGAUGCAUCAAUUAAUGUAUUUCAACUGAACUGUUAUAGAAACCUCGGACAAAUGACAGAGAUUGAACAAAUAAUUGCGAACAGCAAAUCUGCCCAUACGGUUUCCUUUCUCAAGAAUUGAAGCAACUUAAAUUCAGAAAAGAACAGGAGUGAGAAAAGGGAAGAAAAUGAUAUGGAAAAAUAAGAACAUUUUGUUUUGAUAUUUUCAAACUGAAAUCUUCUCUUUCAAAGCACUAUCUUCAGUUCUAAAUGAACUUGAACAUUACAAACAGCAAUCAAAGAAGGCUGAAUAACUCAGAAAAGGAAAGGAGAGCACUUCUCUGAUUUGAACCAACUUUGGACUGUGUUUUGUUUGCAUAGUUUGUGGUUCAGCUGUCAGACAGAAAAUUGCCAUGAUUUUAAUGGCAUUAAUUCUGUAUUCCAGUCUGAACCAAAACCAGAUGACAUAAAAUCCAAGGAUGGGCUGAUUUUCAGAGAUUGCUGUUAAAAUGCAAACCAGAAUGAGAGAAGAGAAAUUACAAAAUGUCAGUGUCCUCACAAGGGGAGCGUGAUUCUGCCCUCCAAACAUAUCCCUUCCAGCUCUGUGUGACUAUAGCAAUUCUGUGCACAGACUGAUGACGCACUCAGCCCAGGAGAAUGUUCAGAAUAAAGUAUAAAAGGAUAUUGGGUUUUUGACAGAUUGCUAUACACAUUUCUGUCAGGAGGGAUGAGGCCAUGCAGAAUAACUUCGCUGACAUGUUCAUGGCCUCUUAUUUUCCUCCUCUCCAUUUCACCACUCCCUUACAGUGCUUGCUGUGAGCCAGGGGAUGAGAUUUAAAAUUAAUAUAAUACUUAAUACCCAAUGGCAAACAGAAUUUUUUUUUUAAUUACCUGAUUAUAUGUUACUGGCACAAGACGUGAAGCCAUCACAUAAAACAUCUUUAUUUUGGAUUUCUCUUUUCAAUAUGGAAAGCUGCUGAUAUCUCCUAUGGCAUCUUUGCUACCUGUUAGAGGAAUGCUGGAGAUCAUGGCAUUGUCAUGGCCAACAAGGAUGAAAAGGGACUGCAUGUCAGUGACACUUUGUGUCUCCAGGAUUUAAAGAUAUUGUAAU
ensembl:lncRNA